GACAGAGGGUGCAAACGUUGCUCGGAAUCACUGGGCGUAAAGGGCGUGUAGGCGGGAAGGAAAGUCAGAUGUGAAAUCCCCAGGCUCAACCUGGGAACUGCAUUUGAAACUCCCUUUCUUGAGUACCGGAGAGGAAAGUGGAAUUCCUGGUGUAGAGGUGAAAUUCGUAGAUAUCGGGAGGAACACCGGUGGCGAAGGCGGCGACCUGGGUAGAUACUGACGCUGAGGCGCGAAAGCGUGGGGAGCAAACAGG
rnacentral:rRNA from 1 species